CAGAGUGGCUUUCUUUUCUCUUCCAGAUAUUAUUCUUUUAUGAAGAAUAAAGAGGUAUUGAAAUAAGGUUUUUACCACACAGUCAUUAAUUUUUUAUGUGCUUAUGUACUUAUCCAUGGCUAUAGUUAAAAUGCUUUUAGUAUUUUUCUUAAAAAUAUUAUUUUUUUCUUUUGGGAUUUAAGCAUUUAGCAAAUCUCAAGGUUUUAAUUUAUUCAUUCAACAACUAUUUGUUGAAUGCCCAUUGCAUACACAGGCACUUUAUUUUUAUUUUUGAGACAGAGUCUUGCUCUGUCACCCAGGCUGGAGUACUGAGGCGUGAUCUAGGCUCACUGCAACAUCCACCACCCGGGUUCAAGGGAUUCUUGUGCCUCAGAUUCCCAAGUAGCUGGGAUUACAGGCACGUACCACCAUGCCCAGCUAUUAUUUGUGUAUUUCAUAGAGAUGGGUUUUGCCAUGUUGGCUAGUUUGGUCUUGAACUCUGACCACAAGUGAUCCAUUCCACCUUGGCCUCCCAAAGUACUGGGAUUACAGGUGUGAGCCACUGUCCCUGGACCACAGGUACUUUAAAAACCACAAUAGGUAGAAACUCUAUUUCUAAUAACCAACUGUAACAAUUCUAAAUAUUUUUUUGGUAGAAUAUUCAGCUCAUUUCAGAGCUUAUAUUUGGUGAUUUUUUAAUUUGUUUUUUUGAAACGGUGUCUUGCUCUGUCACCCAGGCUGGAAUGCAGUGGUGCAAUCUGGGCUCACUGCAACCUCCACCUCCCAGGAGAACAUGCCCAGCUAAUUGUUUUGAUUUUUGGUAGAGAUGGAGGUUUCACCGUGUUGGCCAGGCUGGUUUCGAACUUCUUACCUAAGUGAUCUGCCUGCCUUGGCCUCUGCCUCAGUGCUGGGAUUAUAGGCAUAAACCAUUGCACCUGACGAUUUUUUUUAAUUUUUAAAAAUCCAUGAAUACAUAAAAAGAUAACACACUAAGAAAUUUAUUUUUUUCCGACAGAAAAGGAAGCUUCUAUGUAUCAUUUUUAUCUAGACUUUUAUAUGUGUUUAGUCAUAUUUACUAUACUUUUGUUUUUUGUUUUGUUUGAGACGGAGUCUUGCUCUGUCUCCCAGGCUGGAGUGUGAUGGCGUGAUCCUCGCUCACUACAACCUCCGCCUACCAGGUUUAAGUGAGUCUCCUGCUUCAGCCUCCCAUGUAGCUGGGAUUACAGGUGCUUGCCACCACGUCCGGCUAGUUUUUGUAUUUUUAGUAGAGACAGGGUUUCACUAUGUUGGUCAGGUUGGUCUUGAACUCCUGACCUCGAACAGUCUACCUGCCUUGGCCUCCAAAGUGCUGGGAUUAGAGGCAAGAGCCACCACUCCCAGCCUACUAUACUUUUCUUACUAGAAUUAGGAAAACAUGAAAAUCGUGACUUUUGUAGCUUACAAAAAUAUUACUCUUCCAUGUAAAUACAAAUACCUAAAAAAAAGCUUGACUAGGUGUGGUGGCUCAUGCCUGUAAUCCCAGUACUUUGGGAGGCUGAGGUGAGAGAAUCACUUAAGGCCAGAAGUUUGAGACCAGACAACACAAUGAGACUUCAUCUUUAUGGUGUGCACCUAUAGAGCCAACUACUCAAGAAGCUGAGGCAGGAGGAUCGCUUGAGUCCAGGAGGUUGAGCCUUCAGUGAACUAUGAUUGCACCACUACACUUCAGCCUGGGUGAUAGAAUUAGACCCUGUCUCUGAUAAAAAAUAAAAAUAAAAAACUUUGUUAGAAGAGUAUAUUAUUUGAAUGUUUAAGAAUUGUACUUCUGGAUUUAGGAACUGUUCUUCAGAGGAUUUGAAGAUAUACAGGCAUUUGCCCUUUGCUCCACAUUUCAGAAAAACCAUGAGCACUGAGAGAAGUCUCCUUUGGCACUCCCAUGGCACUGUGGAUGAGAUGCCUCUCCCUCCUUGGCUCUGUGUGUGUGUGUGUGUGUGUGUGUGUGUGUGUGU